rnacentral:rRNA from 1 species
AACUUCUGAAUGUUGACCUCGGAUCAGGUAGGAAUACCCGCUGAACUUAAGCAUAUCAAUAAGCGGAGGAAAAGAAACCAACAGGGAUUGCCCUAGUAACGGCGAGUGAAGCGGCAACAGCUCAAAUUUGAAAUCUGGCUCUCGGGCCCGAGUUGUAAUUUGUAGAGGAUGCUUUUGAUGCGGUGCCUUCCGAGUUCCCUGGAACGGGACGCCAUAGAGGGUGAGAGCCCCGUCUGGUUGGAUGCCAAAUCUCUGUAAAGCUCCUUCGACGAGUCGAGUAGUUUGGGAAUGCUGCUCUAAAUGGGAGGUAUAUGUCUUCUAAAGCUAAAUACCGGCCAGAGACCGAUAGCGCACAAGUAGAGUGAUCGAAAGAUGAAAAGCACUUUGAAAAGAGAGUUAAAAAGUACGUGAAAUUGUUGAAAGGGAAGCGUUUAUGACCAGACUUGGGCUUGGUUAAUCAUCUGGGGUUCUCCCCAGUGCACUUUUCCAGUCCAGGCCAGCAUCAGUUUUCGCCGGGGGAUAAAGGCUUCGGGAAUGUGGCUCUCUUCGGGGAGUGUUAUAGCCCGUUGCGUAAU